UUCACUCCCUGCAUGAGCAGGAUUUCCAAAAUCUUUUUUUUUUGCAGACCCUCCUGGUAGUUCUAGGGAGCUACUUUUUCAUGAGUAAAGCUGAUUUUCUCCAUGGGAUUCUUCCAGUGGCCUGCUUCUCAGACUGUACUAUGGAGAGAGCUUAUACGCCUCUUGUAGGUGCUUGGGCUCUUUUUCCCACUGCCAGUCUCCACUUUCAGGUGGAUAAGGAGACGCAUGCACACACUUAUUUAUUGCAACAGCCUUGCAGUGCCUUUGUUCCAAAACAAGCCAUGAACAGAGGGAAAAGCUGCCACAGUUGAGCCUACGUCCCCGCUCCAGCAUCCUUCAUAGAAUCACAGAAUCACAGAAAUGUUUGGACUGGAAGGUAUCUUAAAGAUCACACAGUUCCAAACUCCUGCCAUUGUAAGGGACACCUUCCUCUAGACCAGCCUGCUAAAUCUACUAUCUCUUAGUUUAAAGUUGUUAACUUCUUGUCCUUUUGCUAUACUCCAUGGUAAAGAGUCCUUCACUGUCUUUCCUGUAGAUUCCCUUUAUGUACUGGAUGGCCACAAUAAAGUUUCCCUGAGGCCUUCA
rnacentral:lncRNA from 1 species